rnacentral:lncRNA from 1 species
UUUCCUCUCUUCUCUUUCCUCUCUUUGUUUCUUUCCGUUUCCGUUUCUCUUCUUUUCUCUUUUCCCUUCUUUCUUUCCUCUUUUCUCUUCUCUUCUAUCUCUAUCUUCUUUCUCUGAUGUGGUCUUAUUUAUAGGCUGAGAAAGGAUACCCGUGAGUGUACCCGUGAGUGUGCAGGUGAUAAGCUUCCAAAAUAUUUUGCUUAAUUUCUUUGUGGGCCCCAUACAUGUGGGCUCCACAUGUUUAUUCUUUACAACACUCCCCCUUGGAGACCACAUGUCCCUAGAUUGGUUGCCUCAUUAAAAUCUUGCUUGAAGAAAACCUAGUAAGGUAGAGAACUGAUGGAAGGAAGAAAGAAGAGUACAACAAUCUGUAUAGCAUACUUCUGGAUGCUCCCCCUGAUUAAUAUCUCCCCCUGAUGUCUUCAUGACUAUCUUUUGGAGUGAGAGUCUUUCGGAGUGAGUGGAGGAUGUAGCCAUUAACAAUUCUCGUAGUUGAGUAAGUAAAUAUAUUUCCAGUGAGCUAUCUCUAUGUAAAUCAUAGAAAUUUUUAGAGUCCGUGUUUCUAACAAAACUUGGGCUAUUUGUAAGUUCACUUGAAAGAAUAUGCUCGUACAAGGUGUUAUGCGGAGAUAGCAUCAAAUAUACCUCACAUCAUUCCAAAAUGAUGGUGAUGGAGUUGAGCCCUAUCUGAAAAAUAUGAUGUCCGGUCGAAUAUACUUCCGGAAAAUCAUUAAAGUGUCCAACGGAUAAUCCUCAUAAAAAUGCUUCAAUACUUUCUUAGUAUAAGCAAGAAUCUCGUUGGCAUAAUGCUCGAUCCUUAAGUCGAGACAAAUAUUUCUUGAACUCUUGAGAAGCUUUAAUGUGUUGCAAACACAUUAUAAUCAAUAUACUCGCUGAUGUAAUUUAUGUACAUUAAUAUUGAGUACAAAUUUUGUGCUUCAGGCACAUGUCAUUCAGGGACUUACUUCAUGCAAUUUCAAUCCUUUCAAGGAUUUUGUUUAAAGGGAUUAAACUUUAUGACACAUUAUAUAGCUUUAACCCAGCUAUUUAUACAUCUUUAGGGAAUCACUUCAGGUGAUAUGCUCUGUGCAUUUAAUAACCCUUAAAGAUAACAUGUUAGUCUCCGUAAAUGUGCAAUAAAGGGGCACAAUUGAAUCUAUAAAUAUGGAGAAAACCCAACAUUCCUUGUUUCUGCCAGAAACAUUGUGUCAUACAAAGUAGGUAUAUUCCCUUUUAUUCCGAACACCCAAGUAUAACAUUCAGUAUUAACAAAUUUUGGGGUUCGUACUGUGGGUUGUUCCUUCACGUUCAUUCUUAUCUAUAAUGGAAUUACCUCAUUCCAUUUUGGCCAAUGAUAUUGUCGACAUUUAAUAAUUGAACGUGGUUCCAAUCAACACAGCCCAUUGAUGAUUUAAGUAGCUACUCCAAAUUCAAAAUUUGUCAUUCAUCAAUUUAUGAUCCCACCAUUCUCAUUUGCAUGCACAUACAUCAAUUAUAAGCAUUUCUUUGCUUUUGGGUACCCAAGCCACUGCAGGGGGCUUUUAUUAUGUGAGAAUGUGGAUUAUAACCUCCAAUGGAGCGUUAUUUUAUAGUAGGGCGUGGAUAAUCUCCAUUUAGGGAGUUGGAACAUUUAGAACCCAUAUAUCUGUCAUGCUGCAGGCAUGCCACAGAUUAAUACAUACAUGUCAAUUAAUUUAUGGGACUUUAACCCAUACAAUUUGCUACGCAUUAGGCGUGCACAAUAUCAAUAUUGACAUGUCAAAGGAUUGUCCUUUCGGGACUUCAAUCCACAUCAUUUGCUACGCAACAGGCGUGCAUCAUAUUGAUCACUGCUAUACCCAUAUUCUGUUCUUAUGGGACUUUAAUCUGUGCAGUGUAUUAUCAAUGUAUCCAACUUGCAAUCUGUAAAAUUUGUGUUAAUAAUUCAUGGAUACAUACAAGCCAUUCUUUUGGAACGGACUUAUCUCCCCAUUUGGUUACCUUUCAAUAUAAAAUAUCAAAUAGGUAUAUAAGCAUAAAAUAACACAAGUAUUGCUUACAUCCUUAGGUGGGAGAAACUUUUCUCAAGUAUCAUUCAAGCUCAUAUCGGCCCAGUAAAUAUAAUGUAGCGCUUGAUGAUCUAGUUAUAUCCUGCAAGAGCAAAAAUCACAACUCUUUUGCCUCUGUCAAAACAAAUAACCCUCAUAAUUAGGAUUACUUCAUGGAUUCAUUCUUCAGAUGUUCAUUCUAAAGAAAUAAAAUCUCUUAUGAACAGAGAGUUAUAAAAAGAGAAAAAAUGCAAAAAUAAUGUGAUAUUGAUUGCAAGAGAAGGUAAGCAAUCAAGGAAGGAAGCUGGUGGGAGCAGACAAUAAGCUCUCAUAUCUCCUAAUCUAGAAGGACUUCCGGAGAUUAAAGCAUAAGAUCGCCUUCACAGUUUCCUGAUGUAGCGAAAACGUGAUCAGGGAUAGUCUUGCUUCCUGAAUGGAUGAUCAGAGAUAGUCUUACUUCUCGGGCAUAUUGAGUGCUCACUGAUAAGAAAAAUAAGUAGAUAUCGCAUCAUUAGGUAUGGAGUAAACUGGAUGUCUUCUGCAAAGAAAAUUUCGUUAGUAACACAUUUAUACACAAAUAUAAUGAAUAGGUAGAACCGGUGAAUUUCAAAUUAACCAUAGGAAAAUUGCGAGAUUCUCGGGAUACUUUUGAAAAAGUAGCUCCGUGAAAUCCGUAAAGCAAGAUCGGCUUUGACGAAAAUAAUACUUGAAAACGCCGAAAGUGCCGACAGGCAUUAUUAGAGGCCACGUGAAGUUUUGGACUCUGGGAAAGAAGAAGAUAAUAUGGGGAUUCGAGAAGAUAUUGGAAUCCUGAAGAUAUUGCCAUAUUUUCGUCUAUAGAUAUUGCCUUUGCAAAACUUGAUUGGAGCAAUUGCGUUUCAACUUAACUUCCUUCAUUUUCUGAAACUUUAGUUUUCCUAAGGCUUUCUUCGAAACCUUCUUAAAAAUGGCUUCCUCUUCUUCCUGCCCAAAUUAUUUCAAUUUAAAUGAUGCUCCCACAACAACUAGUGACGCCAAAGUUUGGCGUCCAUCCUUUGUAUCCCAAAAUCGUCAUCUCACAGUUAAUGAUUCUGUGAUGAUGAAUGAUGCUACUGCUGUCAUAGUAGCUAGGAAUUUCAUUACUCCAAUGAAUGAAAUGCUGUUAACAGGGAGGUCUGAGGAAGAGGCUAUUGAUGACUCAAUGGCUUUUAGCAUUCAGAGUGCUGCUUCUGUUUCUAACAUGGCUGAUCGUUUGCGUGCUAGAGCAAACGAGGUUCAGAGGCUAACAACUGAAAAUUCGUCUCUUCAAAGAAUGCUUCAUGAGUCUCAACAGGAGGUUGAGAAACUUAAAGGAGAGAAUAAUUCCUUGUUGAAACUGGUGAGUUCGUACUCUGUUGAUACACUGAGAAGGCUAGACAUGCUGCAGGUCUCCAAUGAAAGAAUUUUGGGAGACCACGAGAAGCUCAUGGCUAAGCUUAAGAGGCGUCGUCCUCUUCCUUCAGAGGCUUCCAGAACAUAAUGUAUUUUUAUAGAUUUUACAGGGCCUGCACCUUCAUUGCAGGUGGAAAAAAUCUAUCUGUUAUAUGCUCCUUUCCUAUUAUAAUAAUUGCGCACAUUCUUAAACUUACACCUGUGGUUUUUACGUCUUUUCAAAAUGACGGUUUGGAACCUUGUGCCUUAUAGGUUCAAAUAACCACAUUGUCUCUCCCAAAUUUCAUAUUUUAUCGCAUGGUAGCCUGGAACUUUUGGCCUGAGCUAAACACAAACUCAGAAUUUAUUUGCCCUUUUCAAAUGGACAUGAAAUAUGAAUUGAGUAAAAGCCACGAUAAUAUCGCAAUAUAGUAGUGAAGAGCAUUAACUACUAUAUACCCACAACUUCAAGUUCAGGAUCUCUCAUAUAUUUGGAUCCAUGGGCUUCCGGCCCAGAUAUAACAAAACAUGUGGGGAGCCUCAAUUCAUUAUUUGAGGUUUAUAUUAAUAUUAUCCAUUUCGCGGUGUAUUCUUAACAACCGUAAUUCACAAAAUAUAUUUCUUCCUUGAGGUGUCGAUUAUAACAAAAUCGAACUUUAUUAAAUUCAUCAUCUUCUUAUGCCAAAGAAAUAUGUGGCAUACCACAAUUUGCAAUAAUACCUCAAGGGUUGUCCAUUUAAUUGUUGGAACUUCAGGUUCUCAACACUGUUAAAUUUUGAACUUCAGGCCAAAGCCACAUAUUCUCAUGGUAUGGACAUUUUUACAAUUUUCUGUACACAUUUCGGGACUUCAAGCCCUUACAUAAUUGUCUAUAUUUUGAGGAACUUCUGGCAUCUCAUUUAAUUGCUCAUCCAUGAGUUUAAGGAACUGCAGGUUCCCUUUUGUAUAUAGUGACGGUUUACCCAAAAUGGUUAAUAUUUAUGCAUACGUCACUAUUCAUGUGAAUAGUACUAUUCAUCAAGUCAUGAAUACGUAUCUAUUCAUGUGUACAGUACAUCUGCCAGUACAGUUAUCAUCCAUGUGUACGGCACUAUGAACCAAUACGGUACUGUUACAUCAUUAAGGAACUCUAGGUCCUUAUUUACAUGUCAGGGAUCAAGGACCCUUAAGUCCAAUCACAUGUUUACAAAUACAGUACCGGAGAGACUGCCAGCUCUCAUAUUAAUAUCAUCAUCAAGGAUCUUCAAGUCCUGAUUGAUAAGGUCAUAAUUUCACACAUUUGCAUGCCUUCCUUGCUUAGUAAUUUUGUUUAGUUUCUCUUUAUUUUGAGUCUCUUACCUAUGUUUGUGUGUUUUGUAGGUUAGGACAGCAAAGGGGAUCACAUUUGAUGCAAUUCAUGCAUGUUAAGGGUUGAUUGGCACAAGAGGAAUAUGAGCUUAAUGACAGAACCAAUUUGGGCCACACUCCUUGUCAGUCCAAAUUCGUGGGUCAUCUUGCAGGCCUCAUUUCAGCAACCUACACUACUUUGAUGAGGAGACAUGCUUCCCAGAAGUUGUUCCAAUGGGUGUCUAGUAUAACAUAUCCAAAUUUCAGCCCAAUUAAUGAUAGCUAGAAUCCUUGGCCUGUCAAACACUGAACCAUGAUCUAGGAGGAUUUUAAUAUGUAGCUGCCAGCUGGUGAGCCUUGUGCUCCACACCUCCCUUGAGCCAUGUGCCUCACUUCAUCAUUGUUUGACUUUGGACCUGACAUGUUGAGCAAAUUAGGGAGGCAUUUCAGCUAUGGAAGUCAAAAAGGAGCAAAACAUGGCAUGCUUAAUUAUGGGGAUCUUGUCUGCACAAAUCAAGGACCAUUUUCCAGGAAUUCUGGUAGGCUACACAUGGGAGACAAAUCAGUAUGGGAAGUCAAAAAGAUGAACAAAAGUCAAGCUUUCCAUAAAGAAACCAAGAAAAGUCCACCAAAGCAUUUAUUGGGCAGCUGGAAAAGUUGGCAUUUAUUGGGCAGCUUAGGCAAUUGGGAGCAGCUAAGAGAGGUGUGUUUCACCAGCCAAAGGGGAGCACGAAAUUGCACUCUAUAAAUAGAGAGUUGCACACUCAUUCAAAGGGGGAGGGUAGACACACACAUUCAUUUCAUCCAUUACUCUCAUACACACAUUCAGAUUCACCACAAAGAGAGAAGGGAGCUUGGAGCUGUCCUGGGAACUUCCUUGCUGCCACCAUCUAGUUCUUCUCCUCUCUUUAUCCUAUCUAUGUAUUUCUUAUUUUCUGUAUUCAUAGUUAUGUCUAACUAAUCCAUUUAGUUAGGGCUUAGGAUGAAGCCCUAGUCAUGAAUAUUUAAUGUUAUGGAUGAUUUUAUGGUUAAUUGAUUUCCUUGCUUUUAUUAUCAAGUUGUUAACCUCCAGUUUAUUAUGUGCUUGAUGUAUGUUUUCUUGGAGUAGCUAACUAGGAUUUUAUGCAUCUAGCACAGGUUGGGAAGGGGUUUAGAUUCACCAAUUCUACUCUCCUUUCACAAGCAACAUAUGAAUGGCCUAAGAAUCAUUCAAGGGGUUAAUAACCAUAGGUUGACUAGGACAGAUACCAUGUUCUAGGACUUGUGUGAUUAUCAUAUUCUCAAGGAGCUUAAUGACUCUUGUAUGCUUUAUUCUAAGUAGAUACCAUGCUUAGGUUGCAUAUUAGAGAUCACGUGUUGUGUAGAUACCAUGCACAAUCACAUGCCUUAGGAGAAUGAUGCAUCCUGCACCUAGAUACCAUAGGCUUGUAUGCGAUAAUCUAUUGUUGAUGAAGCUUGAGUCAAUUUCUAUGCAUUCAUAACUUGGAUAGGAAGACUAGUGGCAGAUUCCAAGGCUCUAACACCUCUCCAUCAUUGUUUCACAACUUGUUCAUUGCUGCUAGUGUUUACUUUCGAGCACUUUCAUUUCACUUUCUUCUUUUCAUUUGAACAACAAAACCCCUCAUCUUGAGUGCGUGUGUGGUGCUAGGAUUCUGUCCUAGACCUUGAGUAAUUAGCAAGAGGCAUUGUUGAAUUCGACCAUGCCUUUAGCUAGUUAGUCAGUUUCUUUGUUCUAUGUUUUUCUAGCAUUAUAAGUAAUUUAACUUGGAACCAAGUUACCAUUCUCCGUGGGAUCGACCUCGUAUUUACAUAAGCUAUACUAUAAACGGUUCGUGCACUUGCGAGAAUUAAAGGUGCUGUUUUUAAUAACUUAUUUUAGUUGUUAAGAAUAGGCUCAACACUGAUGUAAUUGUAUGAUGAGGAUCAAAGAACUUCUGGUCCUGAUCUGCAUACUGUAAAAACUCAUCAUACAGCACAAUUAAUCCAUAAAAUAAAUUGCUGAUAAAUAAAUUACUAGUGUGGACGAUAAACCCGCACCAUACUUUAAAUAAAUGUAAAUGUGCGGUAAAAUAAAUUCAUAAAUUAAAUUGCUUGCUGUAUGGACGUUAAUCCCGCACCAUACCUUAAAUAAAAUUAAAUGUGCGGUAAAUUAAAUUCGUAAAGUAAACGUGCUUGUAUGGGCACUAAUUCUGCUCCAUACAUUUAAAUAAAAGCAAAGGCGUGGACGAUAAACCCGCACCACCCUUUAAAUAAAUAUUGCCGUAUGGGUAAUAAACCUACACCAUACCAUAAAUAAUACUUUAAGUAAAAGUAAAUUUGUGAUAAAGUAAACGUGCUUGUAUGGGCACUAAUUCUGCUCCAUACAUUUAAAUAAAAGCAAAGGCGUGGACGAUAAACCCGCACCACCCUUUAAAUAUUGCCGUAUGGGUAAUAAACCUACACCAUACCAUAAAUAAAAUAAAUGUUGGGAUAAAAACCUCCACCUAAUAUAUAUGAAGUGCAUAAUAUAUUAUAUAGUGUGGGCAAUAUAACUGCGCCACUAUUCAAGAUAUAAUAGAUGGGUUUUAAGAUCACACCAUCAUUUUAUUACAAUAAUUUGUAUUACAACGCGAUGGGUAAAAAUUACACCACCAUAAAAUAACAGGACUGAUUAAACAACAUAAAAAUUAUAAAUUACGUUACAAAGAAGUAAAUUAAACAAGCAUGGAUUAAACAACAUAGAAAUUGUGAGAACACAAAAAAGAAAGUUUGCAUGUCGUUGUAGUAGUAAAGUGAGAGUAGACAUAUGACAGAGAGGAGACAGAGAAGUAACCACAUAGUGUUGAGUUGGAAAAAUUUCAGAAAUAAAAGGAGAGACUAUCGUGCUGAUAACGUGUUAUAAAAAUAACCUGAAAUAUGUAUGAAUAUUGAGCUGCACGUAAAGUAGAUGAGACACAGCAUUUAACGAGGUUCGGCUAUGCCUACGUCCUCGGAGAGCAGCAGCAGUAACUUUUCACUAUAUAAAAUAAUAUGGCUACAACUUUAGUGUUUACAACAUGUGUGGUUCACUGAAUUUUCUCUCUAGGAGAAUUUCUCUCUGCUCUCUCUUUCCUCUUUCUUCCUUCUCUUCCUCUUGUCUCUUUCCUUUUCUCUCUUUCCUCUUCUCUCUUUCCUCUCUUCUCUUUCCUCUCUUUGUUUCUUUCCGUUUCCCUUUCUCUUCUUUUCUCUUUUCCCUUCUUUCUUUCCUCUUUUCUCUUCUCUUCUAUCUCUAUCUUCUUUCUCUGAUGUGGUCUUAUUUAUAGGCUGAGAAAGGAUACGCGUGAGUGUACCCGUGAGUGUGCAGGUGAUAAGCUUCCAAAAUAUUUUGCUUAAUUUCUUUGUGGGUCCCAUACAUGUGGGCUCCACAUGUUUAUUCUUUACAACAUUAUUCUUAUUUUAUAUAAGUUUUUUUGCUUUUUUGUUGGGUCAAUAUUGUUUGAUGAUAUAAUUGUAUGAAAUCCUUGAAAAUGUGCGCU